UAUAGGAUUUGCAGAUGGUUUGGUUGUCCAAGAUGAAGGGAAGAGGAGAAAAGAUUCUGUUUGCCCUGCUAGGGAUCCUGUGGAUGCAACUGGCCUGGGUGACUGGACAACAACUGGAGCAGAGUCCUCAGUCCAUGAGUAUGCAAGAGGGACAGGACUUCACCAUGAGCUGCAAUUCUUCUAGCACUUUGAACACCUUAAUGUGGUACAGACAAGAGCCUGGAAAACAACCAGUCUUCUUGACGAUCCUUGUUAAAAGCAAGGAAGUAAGGAGCCAGGGGAGAUUUAUUGCCCAGUUUGAUGAAAAAAAGAAACAAAGUUUUCUGCUCAUCAAGACCUCCCAGCCCCAGGAUUCAGCCACCUACCUCUGUGCUGGGAGUCACAGUGCUCUCCAGGUGCCAACAACCUCUACACAAACUCUGCAGCUGGGCUCCAGCAACCUCCUUGUCUCUUUUCCUUCUACUCUUUGCACAGUUUUUACAUUGAGUGUAAGCACUCUCAAGCCCUUCACAGAAUCCUUGCCUUCUCAUUCUAAGAAGCAUAUGCCAGAUACACAUGGACCACCUUUCAGCAGAUGA